CUACGUGCCAGCAGCCGCGGUAAUACGUAGGUCCCGAGCGUUAUCCGGAUUUAUUGGGCGUAAAGCGAGCGCAGGCGGUUAGAUAAGUCUGAAGUUAAAGGCUGUGGCUUAACCAUAGUACGCUUUGGAAACUGUUUAACUUGAGUGCAGAAGGGGAGAGUGGAAUUCCAUGUGUAGCGGUGAAAUGCGUAGAUAUAUGGAGGAACACCGAUGGCGAAAGCGGCUCUCUGGUCUGUAACUGACGCUGAGGCUCGAAAGCGUGGGGAGCGAACAGGAUUAGAUACCCUGGUAGUCCACGCCGUAAACGAUGAGUGCUAGGUGUUGGAUCCUUUCCGGGAUUCAGUGCCGCAGCUAACGCAUUAAGCACUCCGCCUGGGGAGUACGACCGCAAGGUUGAAACUCAAAGGAAUUGACGGGGGCCCGCACAAGCGGUGGAGCAUGUGGUUUAAUUCGAAGCAACGCGAAGAACCUUACCAGGUCUUGACAUCCCGAUGCUAUUUCUAGAGAUAGAAAGUU
rnacentral:rRNA from 1 species